GAUGAACGCUGGCGGCGUGCCUAAUACAUGCAAGUCGAGCGAACAGACGAGGAGCUUGCUCCUCUGACGUUAGCGGCGGACGGGUGAGUAACACGCGGAUAACCUACCUAUAAGACUGGGAUAACUUCGGGAAACCGGAGCUAAUACCGGAUAACAUGUUGAACCGCAUGGUUCAACAGUGAAAGACGGUCUUGCUGUCACUUAUAGAUGGAUCCGCGCCGCAUUAGCUAGUUGGUAAGGUAACGGCUUACCAAGGCAACGAUGCGUAGCCGACCUGAGAGGGUGAUCGGCCACACUGGAACUGAGACACGGUCCAGACUCCUACGGGAGGCAGCAGUAGGGAAUCUUCCGCAAUGGGCGAAAGCCUGACGGAGCAACGCCGCGUGAGUGAUGAAGGUCUUCGGAUCGUAAAACUCUGUUAUUAGGGAAGAACAAAUGUGUAAGUAACUAUGCACGUCUUGACGGUACCUAAUCAGAAAGCCACGGCUAACUACGUG
rnacentral:rRNA from 1 species